AACGAACGCUGGCGGCAGGCCUAACACAUGCAAGUCGAACGCCCCGCAAGGGGAGUGGCAGCCGGGUGAGUAACACGUGGGAACCUUCCCUAUAGUACGGAAUAGCCCAGGGAAACUUGGAGUAAUACCGUAUACGCCCGAAAGGGGAAAGAAUUUCGCUAUAGGAUGGGCCCGCGUAGGAUUAGCUAGUUGGUGAGGUAAUGGCUCACCAAGGCGACGAUCCUUAGCUGGUUUGAGAGAACGACCAGCCACACUGGGACUGAGACACGGCCCAGACUCCUACAGGAGGCAGCAGUGGGGAAUAUUGGACAAUGGGCGCAAGCCUGAUCCAGCCAUGCCGCGUGAGUGAUGAAGGCCUUAGGGUUGUAAAGCUCUUUUGGCGGGGACGAUAAUGACGGUACCCGCAGAAUAAGUCCCGGCUAACUUCGUG
rnacentral:rRNA from 1 species